rnacentral:misc_RNA from 1 species
GAAAUGCGAUACGUAGUGUGAAUUGCAGAAUUCAGUGAAUCAUCGAAUCUUUGAACGCACAUUGCGCCCCUUGGUAUUCCAUGGGGCAUGCCUGUUCGGGCGUCAUUUGUACCCUCAAGCUCUGCUUGGUGUUGGGUGUUUGUCCCCGUCUCCGCGCGUGGACUCGCCCCAAAGUGAUUGGCAGCCGGCGUACUGGUCCCGGAGCGCAGCACAUGUCGCGCAAACGAGUGCCUUGGUACGGCGGCGUCCAUAAGCCCCUCUCUCACGCUCUUGACCUCGGAUCAGGUAGGGAUACCCGCUGAACUUAAGC